rnacentral:rRNA from 1 species
UACGUAGGGUGCAAGCGUUAAUCGGAAUUACUGGGCGUAAAGCGUGCGCAGGCGGUUCGCUAAGACCGAUGUGAAAUCCCCGGGCUUAACCUGGGAACUGCAUUGGUGACUGGCGGGCUAGAGUAUGGCAGAGGGGGGUAGAAUUCCACGUGUAGCAGUGAAAUGCGUAGAGAUGUGGAGGAAUACCGAUGGCGAAGGCAG